rnacentral:lncRNA from 1 species
AUACCCAUUAUGAAACUGUACUGGACUCCCCCCAGGCCUGCUUUUUCAAAAGUUUUGUUGUUUGCCACUUGCCUGCAAGACAUUUUUUUUUCCCACCGAAACAGUAGAAUCAGCAUUUGGGACAGUUUGUUUUUCCUUUCUUCAGGUAACAAUCUAAACACUAGAUUGCUAAUAUUAAGAAUCUGCUGCAUUUUUUAUGAGAUAAGGGAUCUAGGUGCUGCCUUUUCGUCACCAAGCACUUUCAACAUAAAACAUUCUCUUCAUUUUCUUUUUCACCGGGGAGUAACAUACCUCACUGAGCCAAGCUCGUGAAGUGAAACUUCAAAGCUGAGCUCUAACCUUCAAGAAUGAGUUGUCGGAUUUCAGAUGAACAGUUUCUUCUUCUUCUUUUUCUUCUUUUUUUUUUUUUUUUUUUUUUUUUUGAGAUGGAGUCUCACUCUGUCACCCAGGCUGGAGAGCAGUGGCGCGAUCUCAGCUCACUGCAACCUCCAUCUCCAGGGUUCAAGCAAUUCUCCUGCCUCAGCCUCCUGAGUAGCUGGGAUUACAGGCGUACACCACUGCGCUGGACUAAUUUUGUAUUUUUAGUAGAGACGACGUGUCACCAUGUUGGCCAGGCUGGCCUCAAACUCCCAACCUCAGGCCAUCCGCCUGCCUCAGCCUCCCAAAGUGCUGGGAUUACAGGCGUGAGCCACCGUGCCCAGCAAACAGUUUCUUCUUAAACUCAGUUUCUUGCAUUGGAUCAUUGGCUCUCUCUCUAUCUCAAGAACAUAGGAUUUUCAGUUACAAAGACUGUGGUAAAACAGAAAAACUAUUUUGCAUUCCCCUCUCCUUCACAUUGAGCAUUUCUUAAGAUGGAUUCCAUUUCUAUUUUUAUCUGUUCUCCUAGUCAAAAUUUUCAACUCGAGUUUUGGGUCCUCUGGCCUUGAAUAAGCCAGAAAUCAGGAACGAGGGAGAGGUUGUCCUCACAGUGAGCUGCUGGACCUCAGCAAACAACACAAACCUCUGCCUCAUGUAAAUAAAGGAACAGCAUUUUCCCUGGGCAUGGUGCAGAUUUCUGGAGGACUAAGGCUCCAUAUUAAAGUUAUACAAUAAAGGCCAGGUGCUGUGGUCCACACCUGUAAUCCCAGCACUUU